UACAGAGGGCGCGAGCGUUAAUCGGAAUUACUGGGCGUAAAGCGCACGUAGGUGGCGACGUAAGUCGGGUGUGAAAGCCCCGGGCUCAACCUGGGAAUUGCAUUCGAGACUGCAUUGCUGGAGUACGGAAGAGGAGGGCGGAAUUCCCGGUGUAGCGGUGAAAUGCGUAGAUACCGGGAGGAACAUCAGUGGCGAAGGCGGCCCUCUGGUCCAGUACUGACACGCAAGUGCGAAAGCGUGGGGAGCAUACAGG
rnacentral:rRNA from 1 species